GAGGGGCAGCAUGGUCAAAGCUUGCUUUGACCGAUGGCGACCGGCGCACGGGUGCGUAACGCGUAUCCAACCUACCCUCCGCUCGGGGAUAGCCUUGCGAAAGUAAGAUUAACACCCGAUGGUUUCCGGAAUCCGCAUGUUUUCCGGAAUAAAGUAUACGGCGACGGAUGGGGAUGCGUAGGAUUAGGUAGUAGGCGGGGCAACGGCCCACCUAGCCGACGAUCCUUAGGGGUUCUGAGAGGAAGGUCCCCCACACUGGAACUGAGACACGGUCCAGACUCCUACGGGAGGCAGCAGUGAGGAAUAUUGGUCAAUGGGCGAGAGCCUGAACCAGCCAAGUAGCGUGCAGGAUGACGGCCCUAUGGGUUGUAAACUGCUUUUUCAGGGGAAUAUAGUCACCCACGCGUGGGUGUUGGCAUGUACCCUGCGAAUAAGCAUCGGCUAAUUCCGUGCCAGCAGCCGCGGUAAUACGGAAGAUGCGAGCGUUAUCCGGAUUUAUUGGGUUUAAAGGGAGCGUAGGCGGGCUGUUAAGUCAGCGGUCAAAUGUCAUGGCCCAACCUUGGCAUGCCGUUGAAACUGGCGGCCUUGAAUGUGCGCAAGGAAGGUGGAAUUCGUCGUGUAGCGGUGAAAUGCUUAGAUAUGACGAAGAACCCCGAUUGCGAAGGCAGCCUUCUGGAGCAUGAUUGACGCUGAGGCUCGAAAGUGCGGGUAUCGAACAGGAUUAGAUACCCUGGUAGUCCGCACAGUAAACGAUGGAUGCCCGUCAUUGGCGAUACAUUGUCAGUGACCAAGGGAAACCGUUAAGCAUCCCACCUGGGGAGUACGCCGGCAACGGUGAAACUCAAAGGAAUUGACGGGGGCCCGCACAAGCGGAGGAACAUGUGGUUUAAUUCGAUGAUACGCGAGGAACCUUACCCGGGCUUGAAUUGCAGAGGAAAGAUCCAGAGAUGGUGAUGCCCUUCGGGGCCUCUGUGAAGGUGCUGCAUGGUUGUCGUCAGCUCGUGCCGUGAGGUGUCGGCUCAAGUGCCAUAACGAGCGCAACCCCUGCCGCCAGUUGCCAUCAGGUUAGGCUGGGCACUCUGGCGGGACUGCCGUCGCAAGGCGUGAGGAAGGUGGGGAUGACGUCAAAUCAGCACGGCCCUUACGUCCGGGGCGACACACGUGCUACAAUGGCCGGCGCAGAGGGCAGCCACGCGGCGACGCGGAGCGAAUCCCGAAAGCCGGUCUCAGUCCGGAUCGGAGUCUGCAACCCGACUCCGUGAAGCUGGAAUCGCUAGUAAUCGCGCAUCAGCCAUGGCGCGGUGAAUACGUUCCCGGGCC
rnacentral:rRNA from 1 species